UCACAAUGACAAGAAAAAAGAAGCUAAAUUCAGAAAAGAAAAUUUGCAGUAAUCAUAUAUAUCUAGCUUCUAAUUUGGUAGACUCUAAUCACCAGCAAUAAAAACAACAAGUUGUCAAUAGGUCAUCGAAAACUUUGAACAUCACCCUUUCAUCGCUGGCACUAUACCGUGUGUCACCACCAGCUCUAUAAUUCACCCAUGGCUUUGGCAUCCAUCAAUCACACAAUGUCGGUGGUUCGUCAGUAAUUCCCUUUGUUGUGUUUAGCACAUUUCUUGACAAGAUUUGUCAGCGUUCUAGAUUAGACCUAGACAUUUUGCAGGCCAGCCCGAGUUCGUCUCGGGCAGAAAAAAGUCUGGUUAUUUUAGACCAAAAUGUCUCACCUAUGACUACCACCAUCACGGCAGGUCAGGCCUAAUUUUUUAGACUAGGCUCAAGCUAGGUCCGGGCCUAGGCAGGCGGCUUAUACAUUUUAUAGUGUAAGGCCUUGUUUAGUUCACCCCAAAAAUCAAAAACUUUUUUCAAGAUACCCUGUCAUAUCGAAUCAUGCGGCAC
rnacentral:lncRNA from 1 species